CUUUGUUUAUGAGCACCUCUCGUUUCCUCGGCAGGCUCGCCUGCCAACGGGGACCCACCACAAACCCAUUGUAGUACAAGAAGUACACGUCUGAACAAAACAAAACAAACUAUUUACAACUUUCAACAACGGAUCUCUUGGUUCUGGCAUCGAUGAAGAACGCAGCGAAAUGCGAUAAGUAGUGUGAAUUGCAGAAUUCAGUGAAUCAUCGAAUCUUUGAACGCACAUUGCGCCCUUUGGUAUUCCUUAGGGCAUGCCUGUUCGAGCGUCAUUUCAACCCUCAAGCCUAGCUUGGUGUUGGGCGUCUGUCCCGCCUCCGCGCGCCUGGACUCGCCUCAAAAGCAUUGGCGGCCGGUUCCCAGCAGGCCACGAGCGCAGCAGAGCAAGCGCUGAAGUGGCUGCGGGUCGGCGCACCAUGAGCCCCCCCACACCAGAAUUUUGACCUCGGAUCAGGUAGGGAUACCCGCUGAACUUAAGCAUAUCAAUAA
rnacentral:rRNA from 1 species